CUGGUCAGCCUUACACAUUUUUGUCAACCAGCCUGUUCGCCUUUUUCAUGGCUGGGACUGGCCGUCACACGAAUUCCAAGAGCUCGAAAUACCUGAUGACCGGAACUAGGUGAGUAGCGCUGGAGGCAGAUUCUCAGAAAAUGCAGGCGGGGUCAGAGGGGCACAGCUACCUGUGAUGUGCAGCAAAGCCAGAAGCCUGAGUACUGAGAGAACAGGGGCUUCCUUUCAUUCAGAAUUUCAUUUUGAACCUCCUGUCUGGCACCACCUCGAACAGCUCUCAACCCCCAGGCUACAUACGACUCUGGAAGCAAGUGGGAAGGGAAAACAAGUCUGCCAGGUGGAACGACGACU